AUCCUCCAAGGCUAAAUACUCCUGAUUGACCGAUAGUGAACCAGUACCGUGAGGGAAAGGCGAAAAGAACCCCGGCGAGGGGAGUGAAAAAGAACCUGAAACCGUGUACGUACAAGCAGUAGGAGCCCCAUCACUCAAGUGCCUCGCACUGAGUGAUGCAAGAACAUCACCGAAAAUAGCGCCGAAUUUGCUAACAAGGUUGGUCGAUUUUUUCAAGCCGUCGCGCAGUGUACCUAGAAGUACACGAGCAACGGAAGUUAAAAAAUCGGGCAAGAUUGAACGCAAAGGCAAGCGGGACAUUUGAGGAUGGGGUGACUGCGUACCUUUUGUAUAAUGGGUCAGCGACUUAUAUUCUGUAGCGAGGUUAACCGUAUAGGGGAGCCGUAGGGAAACCGAGUCUUAACUGGGCGAAUGAGUUGCAGGGUAUAGACCCGAAACCCGGUGAUCUAUCCAUGGGCAGGUUGAAGGUUGGGUAACACUAACUGGAG
rnacentral:rRNA from 1 species